rnacentral:rRNA from 1 species
UACGAAGGGGGGCUAGCGUUGUUCGGAAUUACUGGGCGUAAAGCGCGCGCAGGCGGUCUUCCAAGUCAGUGGUGAAAGCCUGGAGCUCAACUCCAGAACUGCCAUUGAAACUGUUAGACUUGAGUACGAGAGAGGUGAGUGGAAAUUCCCAGUGUAGAGGUGAAAUUCGUAGAUAUUGGGAAGAACACCAGUGGCGAAGGCGGCUCACUGGCUCGUAACUGACGCUCAGGCGCGACAGCGUGGGGGAUCAAACAGG